UCCCCUACUCCCCCCACCGACACCGGGGCGGCUGUUAGUGGCCGUUAACGGCGGCGGGCGGGCGAUGGUGGCGGGCGGCGCCGUGCGGCUGCUGCCGCUCCCGCGUCCCCUCCUCGGUCGGGCCGCUGGGGCGAGGGGGUCGCUGUCCGGUUGCGCGAUCGCGGGGCGCGGCGGGCUGCGUGCCGGGCGCUGGGUCGCGGUGGCCUUGGCGGUGCCCGCUGGGGCCGGUUGGAAGGAGAGGCCGGGACAGCGGGAGCCGGUGUGGGUAGGGGAGCGCGGCCAGGAGCGUCCGCCCCAGGGGUUGCUGCAGCGUUUGGGUCUGGUACUCCGGUUGGGUGUGCGGGCCUGCGGGUUGCUGCUGCGCUUCGGGCCCCUGCUGCUCCUCUACCCGCUGAGCCGCCUGUGGCCCGGCCUGGGAGCCCUGUGGCUGCGGCUGCUGCGGAGGGCGGCCGAGGCUGCUGGCCCCACCUGCGUCAAACUGGGCCAGUGGGCCAGCACCCGGAGGGACCUCUUCUCCGAGGCCUUCUGUGAUGAGUUUUCCAAGCUGCACGUUGAGGUGAGCCCGCACCCAUGGGGCCACACUGAUGAGCUCCUGAGGAAGGCCUUUGGCGAGGACUGGACAGGCAUCCUCAAGUUCCAAAGCCGGGAGCCAGUUGGCUCGGGCUGCGUUGCCCAGGUGUAUAAAGCAUAUGCUGACCUCACGGCUAUUGCUGGCUCCCAGGCCAAGGAGCUAGCGCAACGCUCAGAGUUACGGUCCGCUUUUGAAGCGUGGGAAGUGUCAGGCUUUAAAGGCCUCCUCAGGUGGCUGAGGAGGAGGAAGAGCCAGGAGAUGCGGGAUGAGAGGAGCAGGGAGGAGCUGAGCCCAGCAGCCUGCUCCCAGGGAGGUCAUAUGAGUGGGAUAUCCCUUAUGGACCAGAUGGCCAAGCCACUCCUGAAUGCAAGUCCUUCAUCAGCCAGAUAUCUCACGCCUGUAGCCAUUAAAGUCCUGCACCCUGGGCUAGUCCACCAAGUCCAGAUGGAUCUGUUUCUCAUGAAGAUGGGUAGCUACAUCAUUGGACUUCUCCCUGGAUUCAAGUGGCUCAGUUUGACAGAGAUUGUGGAAGAGUUUGAGAAGCUUAUGAUUCAGCAGAUUGAUUUACGCUAUGAAGCCAGAAAUCUGGAGCGCUUCCGACAAAAUUUCCUAGAUGUCGAUUUUGUGAAGUUUCCAACUCCCCUUCGGCCUUUGGUAACAACAGAUGUUCUAGUGGAAACGUUUGAGGAGAGUGAGCCUAUUUCGCACUACCUGCAUGCAGAGAUUGCCACGGAGCUGAGGCAGAGACUUGCAAAGAUGGGCAUGGACAUGCUGCUAAAGAUGGUCUUUGUUGACAACUUUGUCCAUGCUGACCUGCACCCUGGGAACAUCCUGGUUCAAGGCACGGCCCAUGUCAGCACCAGCUGCAAGGAGCAGACGGCUAUCGUGGACCUGUGUGACACGCUCGUGGUGGAAGUGCAGCCACCCCUCAGGCGGCUCUGCCUGGUGCUGCUGGAUGCAGGGAUCGUGGCAGAGCUGCAGAGUGCCGACAUGCAGAACUUCCGGGCGGUUUUCACGGCUGUGGUCCAGGGCCAGGGGGAGAGAGUGGCAGAACUGAUCCUUCAUCAUGCCCGUGCUAACCAGUGCCAGGAUAUCGAGCGAUUCAAAGCUGAGAUGGCGGAACUAGUGACCAAGGUCCGGGGGAACACCAUUGCCCUAGGAAAGCUUCAGGUGGCAAACCUCCUCUCCAAUGUCUUUAAACUACUGAUGACCCAUAAGGUGAAGCUCGAGAGCAAUUUUGCUUCCAUCAUCUUUGCCAUCAUGGUUCUGGAAGGUCUCGGUCGUUCACUGGACCCUGAACUGGACAUCCUAGAGGCAGCUAAACCACUGCUCAUCAAAACUGCAGCUUCUGUCCUCAAGUAGACUCCUGGGGCUGCUGCCCUCUCGCUGCACAGUGUUACCGAUGCUGUCUGCGAGCCAGCUGAGAAAGAGGCUGAAGACCAGGUACCCUACCUGCAAAGAUACCAGAGUAUUUUUCUGACAUAAGGUUUCCUGCUUUUGGAGACUGCUGGCCUGAAGUGACAUGCUAGGCAAACCAGACCCCAAGCCCAACUCUCCAAAGACAGGUAUUUCAGAGAACAGACAUUUUUCUCAUCACAAUGCCUAAAGAAAGGGUGGCUUGUUACCAGGAAAAAAAAAAAAAAAAAUCUUCCUUUUUACAUUUUGGGCUUCUGCAAGUCAUUCCUCCUCGAGGGGAGUGGCAUACAUAUUCCGAGUAGUACACCUGCCCUGACAGUAGAAGAUCUACACUCUCCUGAAGCCCAUGUGGGAGGGUUCCAAGUUGUCUUACCAGGUUUUCUGAAGCACCUCUCUCACGUCACUGGGUCCCUGCCCUGCCCCCUACAGCAGCUCUGGCAGGAAGUAGCACAACUUUGUCAUGUGGAUGGGGACUUCUUCCCUCUACAUCUCUGCAACUCACGUGCAAUGGGAUGCUUGCAAGAGUCAGUUGUUAAUAAUGGCAACUGCAGUGGGUAAUUUACAUUGUGUUUUAGCAUGUACAUUUUCAUGGCUGCAGUUGUUUGGGGUUUUUUAAGACCCGGCUGCUCUCCAGCUCUCCACCCUGUAUUUCAUGUAACAUUAAUGUAGCAAGGUAAGUCAUAUGACAACAGCAUCACAUGAUUACACUUCCUAUUCUAUGUGGUCCUGACCUUUAAGAAAUUGCUAUUCUGGCUCCGCUCUGGAAGAAACGCAGCAGCAUGGAAAUUUCCCAGAAUUCAGCAGUGGAAGCCUUUUCAGGCCUGUAUUUAAUUUCCCAGCAGGCUUGUAUUAGCAGGGCAUAACCUUCCACCACUUCACUUGAGGGGCUCAUUCCCAUGGCAUUUCUCCUGACCUUCAUUCUUGCUCUUCACCUCCUAGUGUACUGUACGGCCCGUGCACCUGCUUAACUAAUGCCUUUCUCUGUCAUUUGCACCUCGAAAGCAGCUACAACCUGGUGUCUCUUUGCCAGGCUCUAGGUCUUGUGCGCUUUGAACCACUUUUGUAACUCCCAGGUCCUCUGUUGCUCCACUCUGGAUUGCAAAUCUCACUUUCACCAGCCUCAGACUACAACGCUCAGCCCUACAGGUGCUGACUCCUUGGAGUCCUGCAGAAAGAGCCAGCCCCCCGCAGGUAUCUCUGGGGCAGAAGCUCGGCCCUAUGGCUGUGCUGCGUAUUCAGUACCGAGGUAGCUCUGGGCUGCAGAGUUGGGUCUGUCAGCAGGGCCGCUGCACGCACUUAAGACAGAGGUGGACUAGGAUAAUAACUCCAGAAAGAAAGGCACGUAAAGGACAGAGCAGUGAAGAUGCACUCUGGCUGCAAUGAAAGGGAGAUGAAGGACCUCUCCAGGAAUAGUAGUUCCGCUUGUCACAACUGCACACAAGCACCCAAGCUCCAGCACAGCGACUCACACCUACAAGAUACCGAUCAGGUCUGUGAACUGCUCGAGGGCCUGCUUACCUGCUCUGCAGCGCCCUUUCGCUAGCAGUGAUGCCCGGAGCAUCAAAAGAUUCUGUUCUCUGAGGUACUGCUGGAGGUCACAGAGUUUUUGGCCUUCUUUUUCCACCUUCUGGCGUGAACAGUCUUUGCUCUGGAGUACUCUGGCAGCCUUCUGCUGUAUUUGUCGCCUGUCCUGCUCCUGUGAUUCUUGUUCCAACAUUUCCUGCCAUGCCUGCAUUCUGCUCCUGAGAAAAUCCUACGUAAAAAUAAAGACAAUUACAAUUGUACAGCUAGCUCUCAUGCUGAAUUUCAUCCACAGUUACCACUACAGAAGUCAGAAAUGGGUAUAAUCUAUGGAAAUUCAUUCUUUGCAUGCAGUAAGACUCCGUCUACUGCAGAGUAGGAGAAUUUUAGUUCCCAUCUUUCAUCUUUAUAUAUGUGUUAAAAAAGCACCUUCAUUUAUUUAUCUCUAAAUGGUAAAAUUAUAUUGGCUAUAGAACAGGUGAAAGACAAAAUACUCUGAAUGGUGCCACUGCUGGAAACAUGGUAGUACAGGAAACACACUUCUGAAGUAGCCCUCACCAGCCUUUUUUUCUCUUGUUCGAAGCUCCUUUCAUUGCGUUCAGCCUGCAACUCCUCUCUCAGCGGUCGCUGUGCCUUUAAGAACUGCCGCCUCUGACUUGCCUUCCUCUUCUCCCUCUCUGGCAUGAAGGAUUCCCUCCUGCUCCUCUCUGCCUCAGCAGCCUGGAGCAGUCCCAUGUGCUGCAAAGCUCUGUCUUUGUGCUCCAGCUGUUUCUCUGGCCCUUGCAGUGUUCUCUGACGCAAUUGCUGCCUGUUUCCAAAACAAAAUUUCUCAAAUUUCUCAGAAAGAACAAUAAAAGAAAAAGGGAGCGCAUAAGACACAACACAGAUUCUGGCAGUCUGUGCUUAGUUGAGAUUCCAGGACUCUUUGUUAGGUUAUGAGGGUUAAACCUGUGCCCUAAACAGAAGUGGCAAAACCCCCAAAAGGGCAGGCCCCUGGUGUCCACUAACCGCAGUCACCUGCUCACCUAACUACGCAGCCUGGUACAGCUGCGCAGCCCUGGCCCUGAAGAGCAGAGGCCACAGACAUGGAUCAUGCGGAUGGGGCUGUAGGACCAACUCAGCCAGCUGGAUGGCCAUGUGUAUUGGUGCUGGAGCAACAGGGGCGGGAGGAGAUGUGGAAGGAGGCAAGUCAUGGGGGCAAGGACCUGCUAAGCUUAAGCAGACUGUGGGGCCAGGGGCAGGGAACAGGGCUUUGGGAGGCAAAAGGACUUUGGGUCUGAGGAUGGGAUUGAAGGGAAUUUGCCCUUGGAGGUAAUGCUAAAGGUGCUGAGCCCACAUGUACCUGCUUGCCCAUACAAGCAUUUGUAAACCAUUUGUAAACCGCCGUGACCGCUCUGCAGAGACUCAACAUGAGGCACCAUGCAUGAUGCUCAGAGACUGAAUGAGAGCACCAGGGAGUAGACAUUACCAACCUGCUGAUAUUUACUGCAAAACCCAGUUAGCUUCUAGGUAUUACCUUUGGUUGUCCCCGCACAGCUGGCAUCGGGUGCCACCAGCCUCUUGCUGCUGCUCCCUCUUCAGCUGCCUCUGUUCCUCUUGCCCCCUUUUGUGCUCAGUCUUGGCUCUGUUGAAGUCCAUCUCUCUCCAUCUUGCCUGAGAUGUACCAUUAAGGAUUGAUUUCUAAGAGAAAAAACCCAAACCAAACCCGUAAUGUUAUCAGUAUAUUUUUCUAAUAUAAACUGUAAACUUACAAAACCAGAACAGCUGAGCCUUCUAAUGUCACUGCUGAGCUCUGGAAGCCACACUGGCUCACGAAUACUAUAGUCACUUCCCAUCCAUGAAACACCGAGUAUGAUGCUAAAACCUGUACAAAAGAUUAGGCUUAACUGACAAAGCAGUGCCUGAAAAUAUAAUUUUAAGGGUUCUUCAUAGGUCAGUGGGCUGUGCUGUUCUGGUUGUUCCGGUGUUGAGCCAAUGCUUAAAACUGCCCAGUCUUUGUGUCAGGUUCUGGAUUGGAUGGAAAACACAGGUUCUGACCACAAAUCAUAUUACAGAUUCCUUAUUAGAUUUUAUUAGAAACAUCUGCCUCCCUCUGGCCAAACACAAAAUCUUCUUGGAGUUCUGUGCAGGUGUACUAACUCUUCAUUCCUGUGUCUGAGAUUUCUACCCAUGGCCAAGCAGUCUUUGUGCUGUCUUCAGCAGUAGCUGCCUUUCAAGACUGGGUAGUGUUCCUAAUUUGCUUUUUUACAAGCAAUGUGCUGUGUAAAGAGAUGAAGGAGCACCUGCAAGGCCUCUUUUCACAGCCACAGUGCAGUAUUUAAUUCUUUUGUACUCCUUACGGUGCCCUGUAUGAGGGAAGGAGCAAGGAAACACCACCAAAACUUAGACAUGCAUUCCAGUUUACAUUCCUAGAGCUGUCUGGGGCUGGAACAGUUUCCACAAAAUAUCUUCCUCUCUCAAAUGCAUCCUCCCUUCUCCUAUUCCCAGCGGCAAUUAGCACGUUCCUGCCAAUAGCUGCUCCUCUGCAAACAGAAUGUCUCCUUCCAGUUCUUUCCUAACGACAUCUCUGAUACCACAAGCUGGAAAACACUACAGGACCUUCAAAUAAUGUCCCUGCCAGUCUUGUGUAGCAUUUUGACUGAUUUCUUUCAACACAUAGACCUGUAUGGCUUCCUAGCGGCAAUAAACACCUUUGUUCUCCA